GGGUGGGGUUCAUCCCACCCAGACCACAGAGACUGAAAAUAAGAAAGGGGUGAGGCCUAAGGGACAAUCAGGAUGUUUUUCAGAGAGAAGUGUGGAUGCUGGACAGGAAGAACCACAGAUACCAGAUACGGGAAGAAUCAACACUUUCAGAGAUGGAGCCUGUUGAGCCACAGUACCAACUAGUCAAUGCUGAAUCGACUUCUCCCUUUCUACAUUGCCUGAGAGAAGUCAUUGGGGAAUACUCUGUACACGAAUUUUCACUGUUGGGGAAAACAGAGAGUCAAGGGAUUGGAUUGUGGAUUGCAUUGGUGGUUUUCCUCAGUUUCCUCAUCUUCUCCACAAGUUUCUACAUAUCGAAUGCAGAGCAGCCCUUCUUCAAAGGACCUCCUACGGAAGCUGCUAAGGAACUCAGUCUGUAGCUCUGCGUGGAGCCAUGUGUAAACACUGAACUGAGACCUGCCACCUCCUACUACCUAAGGGCCCAUUUUCAUCUGAUAUCAUCCCCCAGAAACAAACUCAUGAUGACUUCCAUGUUUUUUUUAGAUUAGAUACAUGGAGAAUUUUCCUUUCCCUUAGAAUUAAAAUCCUGCAUUCUAAUUUUCAAGUGAUGUUCCCAGGAGAAAUGAUAAUGCAGCAAUGGACAAGAACAGGAACAAGAGACAGUCUUACCAUCUUCUUACAAUUUAUAGAUGGGACAGUGGAAAGAGAAGCCACAUCGGGGUUGGGCAUGCAGAGACCUGGUCCUAAAUCUGUGUGACUUUUGCGAAAUCCUUUUGCCUCACAGAGCUCUAGGUUCUUAUCUGUCAAACAGGAACCAGACCAUCAGAUCCGUAGAGAUCCAACCAAUGAAGGAGACUUCGAAAACUUCACAUUGCCGUGUCAAUGUGAGGUUGCUGGAUGGUUAUGACAAGAAAUCACAUUAAAUUCACUGGGGUAACAUUGUUCAUGAAACGGGAUAAUGUGUUUCAGCGAUGAACCACCCAUGGCCUUACUACAGACAUAUUUCCACUUUGAAAAUGUGUGUGAGUGUACAUGUCUGUGUGUGAGGCAGAGAUUAGAAAGUGUAAAUGUGUGCGUUUUCAUUUUACACAUCUUACAUUUUCCUUUAAUUUGUUUGAAAGCCUGUUUUGUUUGUGGCUUCCAUUCCUGGAAGUCCCAUGAGUUGUUAGUGGUGAAGAUGGAACAGAUGUGUCCAACCCGGGGGACUCCUGCCCUCAGGGACUGAGCAGCUGCAAACCUCUCUCUCAUCUGAUUCCACUGUUUCUUCCACAUGUACACAUCAUGAGAAAUAUUGUUCAAUCAAUAUCUUCCCUUAAAUCAACUCAUAUGCUUAUUUACAUGAAUUUACCUAAAACAGAAACUUGAUAUCACUUCUGUAAAUGAAAAAAUUAAACUUUCUGGCUUUAAAUAAAGCAUAACAAUAAUAAUCAUGUCA
rnacentral:lncRNA from 1 species